ensembl:lncRNA
CCAAAGGGAAAUGCUAUACAGUAUCUUGAAAAGAGCAUUAAAUUUGAUAAAAAGAAGAAAAAUCCAACUUCAUUAUAUUGUAGAGUUAAGAAACCAUGCCAGUCACUGUGCCUCCCAACAGAGAUCAAAGAAAUCCUCUACGAAACCCUUUGGUUUACAGAAGUCUUUCAAUCAGUCUAUCAAUGUUCCGGAUUACUAUCCAAGUAGCCAUUCCAAAUUUUGCUGGAUAUAUAAGAUCGUCUCCUGCGCCAUAGGUAAUAUUUUCCUAGUGAACGUAGAGUUCUUUUUCUUUAUCUAUUAA